UAAGACGAACCGUGCGAACGUUGUUCGGAUUCACUGGGCUUAAAGGGCGCGUAGGCGGGCAAGCAAGUCCGGGGUGAAAUCUUUCGGCUCAACCGGAAAAGUGCCUUGGAUACUGCUUGUCUAGAGGGAGAUAGGGGUUGCUGGAACUUCCGGUGGAGCGGUGAAAUGCGUUGAUAUCGGAAGGAACGCCGGUGGCGAAAGCGAGCAACUGGACCUCUUCUGACGCUGAGGCGCGAAAGCUAGGGGAGCAAACGGGAUUAGAUACCCCGGUAGUCCUAGCCCUAAACGAUGGGUACUAGAUAGUAGGCUUAUCAUGGGCUUACUGUCGAAGCAAAAGUGCUAAGUACCCCGCCUGGGGAGUAUGGUCGCAAGGCUG
rnacentral:rRNA from 1 species